rnacentral:lncRNA from 13 species
GAUUUUCUCGACCAUAGACCCUACCACCAUCUCUAGCUCUUGAAAGAUUUCAGCACGUGGUCCGGUCCUGGGGAGAGCGUUUAAAUACGUUGCCCCGAAACAGGACCGUAAAACGCGAGUGGCGGGCUGACCAUCUGUCAUUGGAUCCUGAUCAACCAUUGACACAUGACCAGAACGUCAGUGCGUUCUUUUCGUGUCACGCCCCAUAAUACGCGUGCACGAGCUCAGUGUUGCGUCCUCCCACCCCUUUCCCUAAAUCCAGCUUAUCGUAAGAUAAAAAUCACACUCCUAAGGCCGGACGUAACAGUAUAUUAAAUACUGUGAACAAGAAAGAGAGAGAGAGACAAAACAGAGUAAAAUACGUGUGUAUUGAGAAACCAGAGCACGUGGCGGUGUCGAGUCGAUCAACUAUAAAUGAUUCAGUGAUGAAACGGUCACCAGCUUCAACCCAUGCGAAAUUAGAAGCUGCCAUGCAAAAAUGGCUCUGUCGAUUAGAUGACAGGAUCAGGAGUAUAAUUAAUAAUAAUAAAAUGUUUAUUAAUCAGUAAAACAAAGUUGUUUUACUGAUUAAUACACAUUUACUGAAAGUCUUCCAUGAGAAACUUUGCGAAACAUGUUUUCUAUCGUGUCUUGUCGUUUCAAAAAGGAAUGGAACCGUUGACAUUAAUUAUGAUUACGUGACGCGGCACUGAUUUCUAGAAUGUCAAGGAAAUCCAGUGAGUCUUAAUUUGUAACAUCUAUGCUGUAGGUCGAUUUUACGGAUAUAUAACAAUUUCUAAACGAUUGAAUCGUAAUUAUUCUCUUUGUACGCAUAUAAAUAUCAAUAAUAAUGCCUAAUAAUUAGUAAAAGUCAAUAUAUCCGAUUGUUAGUUUAUAUAUGCAAAUAAAAGGUUUUAUAUCAUA